rnacentral:rRNA from 1 species
CCCUUAGAUGUUCUGGGCCGCACGCGCGCUACACUGACGGAGGCAGCGAGCAUGUCCUUCGCCGAGAGGUGUGGGGAAUCUUGUGAGUCUCCGUCGUGCUGGGGAUAGAUGGUUGCAAUUGUCGAUCUUGAACGAGGAAUUCCUAGUAAGCGCGAGUCAUCAGCUCGCGCUGAUUACGUCCCUGCCCUUUGUACACACCGCCCGUCGCUACUACCGAUUGGAUGGCUUAGCGAGAAUUUUGGAUCGGAGCCCGGGUGGUCGGCAACGGUCGCCCGGGAGAUCUGAGAAAUCAUUCCAGCGUGGUCAUCUAGAGGAAGUAAAAGUCGUAACA